rnacentral:rRNA from 1 species
CGGGACACGUGGUAUCCUGUCUGAAUAUGGGGGGACCAUCCUCCAAGGCUAAAUACUCCUGACUGACCGAUAGUGAACCAGUACCGUGAGGGAAAGGCGAAAAGAACCCCGGCGAGGGGAGUGAAAAAGAACCUGAAACCGUGUACGUACAAGCAGUGGGAGCCUCUUAAUGGGGUGACUGCGUACCUUUUGUAUAAUGGGUCAGCGACUUAUAUUCUGUAGCAAGGUUAACCGAAUAGGGGAGCCGAAGGGAAACCGAGUCUUAACUGGGCGUUAAGUUGCAGGGUAUAGACCCGAAACCCGGUGAUCUAGCCAUGGGCAGGUUGAAGGUUGGGUAACACUAACUGGAGGACCGAACCGACUAAUGUUGAAAAAUUAGCGGAUGACUUGUGGCUGGGGGUGAAAGGCCAAUCAAACCGGGAGAUAGCUGGUUCUCCCCGAAAGCUAUUUAGGUAGCGCCUCGUGAAUUCAUCUCCGGGGGUAGAGCACUGUUUCGGCAAGGGGGUCAUCCCGACUUACCAACCCGAUGCAAACUGCGAAUACCGGAGAAUGUUAUCACGGGAGACACACGGCGGGUGCUAACGUCCGUCGUGAAGAGGGAAACAACCCAGACCGCCAGCUAAGGUCCCAAAGUCAUGGUUAAGUGGGAAACGAUGUGGGAAGGCCCAGACAGCCAGGAUGUUGGCUUAGAAGCAGCCAUCAUUUAAAGAAAGCGUAAUAGCUCACUGGUCGAGUCGGCCUGCGCGGAAGAUGUAACGGGGCUAAACCAUGCACCGAAGCUGCGGCAGCGACACUGUGUGUUGUUGGGUAGGGGAGCGUU